GGGGUGACUAGUGACAGAGUGAGGGAGGGGGUGACACAAUGACAGAGUGAGGGAGGGGGUGACAAGUGACAGAGUGAAGGAGGUGGUGACUGUCACUAGUCACCCCAUCCCUCCCUCUGUCACUAAUCACAACCUCUCUCACUCUGUCACUAGUCACCCCUUCCCUCCCUCACUCUGUCACUAGUCACCCCCUCCCUCUCUCUGUCACUAGUCACACCCUCCCUCACUCUGUCACUAGUCACACCC